rnacentral:rRNA from 1 species
UACCAGCACCCCGAGUGGUCGGGACGAUUAUUGGGCCUAAAGCAUCCGUAGCCGGUUCUACAAGUCUUCCGUUAAAUCCACCUGCUUAACAGAUGGCUGCGGAGGAUACUAUAGAGCUAGGAGGCGGGAGAGGCAAGCGGUACUUAGUGGGUAGGGGUAAAAUCCGUUGAUCCAUUGAAGACCACCAGUGGCGAAGGCGGCUUGCCAGAACGCACUCGACGGUGAGGGAU